rnacentral:lncRNA from 1 species
GCCAGCUAGAACAAGUACUGUAAUACCUUUCUAAUGUUCCAGUGGGCCCUAUCAGAUUUAAAAUACAUACAUACCCAAACCUCACAGACCUGCUGGCCAUGGAUGAACCUUGUUAUCUGUCUCCCUUCCAUGUGGUUCUCUCCAGGCCUGACAGAUGGGAUGAGCAGUGGCAGGGCUGGGGGAGCAUCCCUGUGCCGGGAUGGGGCCCAUCAAGAUCCCCUUCAUGGUAUUGAGUAG